CUCACUAAAAACCAGGGGUUUUGUGCAUGACGUAUUUUUGGGGGCAGAGUUGUGGGAAGGCUGUUGUCGUAAGGGGAGGGACUUGAAUAGGGUCAAGGAGCAUGCGCAGAGAGGAACCCGCACAAUUCAAAAGGCCGGUGUGAAUCUGCUGCCGAAAAAAGAAACCGCUGGAGCAAGAAAGUUUGCAGAAGGCAUGCUGGAAGAUCAGAAUUUCCAUUUUUCAAGCACAGAAGAUGCAGUCAAAGAACUCAAGAAAGGAGAUUGCAGUAAAACGUCUACAGGAAUCAGAAGAUUUGUCUGAUGUCUGCAGACUCUGUGGGGAAGCCACUACACAGGAUUCUGUGGACACUGCUACUGCUUCUAAAUGGAUUGCCUGUGACUGAUGCAACAAGUGGUUCCACCAUUCAUGUGUCGGAAACUCACCUGAAGAGGAGGAGUUCCUUUGCCCUUUGUGCAAGAUAUAAGACAGCCCCUACCAACUAACUCAUCCGCUGACCCUGCUUUUAAAUGUCAUUGCUACCACUGUUUUCCAACAACUCUAAAUCAGACUUCUUUUUCACCUUAAAAAUGUAUGUUAUAACUUUA